GUUUCCACAUGGCUACGCAACAAGUGAAGGUGCAGCCUGUGAGUAGUUGGUCGGCUCUCAAUCAUUGAUGAAUUUUUUCCAGCAAUAUUGAUAUUGUGGAUAGAGCAUUGGUAGCAACUAUUGUUUAUCCCUUAGUAUUGUGUCACUCAGCAACUUAUUGACAAUUGUUAGAUCAAUGGACAUGAAUAUCUUGUGUUGAUGCAUUUGUUGGUUCUUGCAGGCAGAGAGAUGGCAGAAACGGUGUCUACUCCCUGUUUGGAUUGGAAGGUCAGAGAGCGGGGUUGUGCUCGCGAAGCCAUUCCUUGAUGUCUGACAUUGAAAAGGAUGGAGGAUGAUAGAGAAGACAUGCAGAGUAGUUGAAAAUUUGCAAGGCCACUUGUGAGCAUGCCUUGUACACAUGAGAAAAGCCAAGAAGAGGCUGCAUGUUGAUGGUUGUGUUCCACCUGUGUCAUCUUUUGUUGAUCCUUGCUAGCUGUGCAUAAAUAGCCGUGUGCGUUCAGCUACAAUUAUUUGAGUUGAGUUUGUUUCCUCUUGUUCUGAAUGGUAAGCAACUAGUGGAAGCAACAUGUAAUAUUAGUGCUAUGAUAGUCGGCUUGUGAACGUGCUUGCGGCGACUGGAAUUCGGAACUUUGAUUAUGCUCCAGCCUGGUGAUCUUGCGAUUGAUGAGGUGGUCUGUACUGCAUGGAUGCAUGCAACGGCCUCAGUUAGCUGAAAAGGCUUACUCAUGUAUUAAGAAGCUUGCACUUGUCUCCUAGUAGCUUAGCUGCUCCAAGUUUACUCGUGUGUCCAAGUUGUAAAUUGAAAGAGUCAAUGAGUAAAAUUUGGAAAAAAAGGCUACAUCUUAAAGUUGGAAAUAUGAUGAAUCUUCGUUUCAGAAAUUGCCGGUGUUAGGAAUUUCUCUAGCUCUUUCCUAUUGAAGAAGUGGCACUUAUCCU